rnacentral:tRNA from 1 species
GGGGAUGUGGCUCAGGUAGAGUGCUUGCCUAGCAUUCAUGAGGCCCUGGGUUCAAUCCCUAGCACCACCA